GUGGGUUGCUGACACACCUUCCCCCGCUGCUGUGGGGGCUGUUGUCGCACUCUCCAGCAAAAACCUGGCAGGUGAGGCUGGGAAUCUGGUUGUGAGCAUGGCAGCUGAUGUCUUUAGCAGUCUUGCUGUCUGGCUGGUGUGGGUAAAGGACAGGGGUCACACAGCCCCAAUGGAGCUCGGCCGUGCUUGUGGUGGGACUCCUAGCCAAGCUGCAGGCUCAGCCCCCCGGGUCUGUAAGAUACAAUUAAGAGAGAAGCAGCCUCUACCAAAAGAAAGGGGCAAUGGAUGCUGAAAAGCAGCUGCAAAGCUUCCUGAGGUGGGGGCAGCAGUGUAUAGCAGUCCCCCUAACGUGUCUCCACAGCACGCUCUUGCCUGGCCUGUGUCCCUUCAUCGUGUGCUGGGGAAGGACGUGGUGUCCCCACAGUGUCAUGCCUGGGGCUGCACUCACUCACUCAGGGUGAGAAUUAGUCUCCCCUAACCUGGUACUGCUGCAGUAGCCAGGAGAGCCUGGUGAGGCUAUUCUGCAGAACCUGGACAGCUAAUUGGGGCAGAUGGGCUGGGGCAGGGGCUUGGUGGGAGCCAGGGAAGGAGAGGGAUGUGAUGGUAGCCAGGACAGAUCAAUUGGCCCAUGCUGCUGGGUCUGACUUGCCCCAUGAAAAAACAAGUCUCAGAGGCAUCCCACAAAGCCUGGAGCAGGGUCACUCUUAGCCGUGCUCUCUCUGAUGGUUUUCACUCCUUCCAGAGCAUUGUUCUUGCUCUGCAUGGUUAAAAGCUUAAGACUUUAGAAACCCGGUGCUCCAUCACUCUCCAGCCCAAUGCAAGCCAAGACGAGCUUUGAUUUUUAACCAAGAGAACAAGAAAAGAAAUUCCUCCCCAAGUCUGCUGGGGCAGACUUAUUCCCUCUUGGUGUGUGAUGGGGGCUUGCAUCAGCCCUUCACCCCCCUCACUGUCUGCAGACACCCCCCGAGGCGUGACAGCUUUGUCAUAAUAAAGAGCUGUCACCAGCUGAAUUAUUCCAGCUACAGCACAUCAGCCACGGGUAAGAUGGACCAGAGCCCUACAGGUCUGGAGAGGCUCCUCAGGGCUUCAGUGGCCAAGACAGAUCUCAAAGUAAAUUACUGAUCUCCCCUUCCUGUAAAUAAAGACAACCCCUGUA